rnacentral:tmRNA from 1 species
GGGGGUGUACAGGUUUCGACGGGGAUCACUGCAGUGAAGGAAGCCAUCCGUAGACACCGGAGCUACGUUAAAAGCUGGUAAAAUUAAAUUAAACGCUGAAGAUAAUUUAGCUUUCGCAGCUUAGGCUGCGGUGUCCUUCCUAGGCAACUCGCCACUUAGGGUCUGGGCAACGAUUGGGCGAGGAACUUUUCUACCAAUGCUUUGAGGUAGUAAAAGAACCUAAUUAAGCUACUAAAACCAUGAGCCUGUCAUUAGGCGCUUGGCAGAGGGAAUGUCAAAUUAAUGACUCUGAUGGGAGAAACUUUCAUGAACGGGUUUUCGGACAGGGGUUCGAUUCCCCUCACCUCCACUA